UACGAAGGGGGCUAGCGUUGUUCGGAAUCACUGGGCGUAAAGGGCGCGUAGGCGGCUUUAUAAGUCGGGGGUGAAAUCCUGGAGCUCAACUCCAGAACUGCCUUCGAUACUGGGAAGCUCGAGUCCGGGAGAGGUGAGUGGAACUGCGAGUGUAGAGGUGAAAUUCGUAGAUAUUCGCAAGAACACCAGUGGCGAAGGCGGCUCACUGGCCCGGUACUGACGCUGAGGUGCGAAAGCGUGGGGAGCAAACAGG
rnacentral:rRNA from 1 species